CAAAAGAAGAGUUACUGCAGAGAGACAAGAACAAAAGAAAACACAAAAAACUGAUUUAUGUGAAUUUAAAGAUGGGGGUUUCUUGAUCUCCGUUUGCUCUGCUGAACCAGUUAGAUGUUAUUUUUGGGGUUGUUUGCUUCACAGUUUCAAUUAGUCCAGCAGGUAUUGAUAAAAAUCUUUCUGCUGGAAGAACAAAAACAAGACAAAGAAUUCAACAGUUUGUUGAGAUAUAAAAAUCUCCUCACAAACAUUCAAUAUUCCAGAUUAUGACACGUUAUUCCACUAUAGGUAACAUUAUGUCAUUAUUUAGUUAAGAGGUGAAAUUUUCACACCAAAAAACUAAAAGUUGCUCUAAUAAGACAAAAUCAAACAUCUUAGUGGAGACAUUUGGGGGUUUAUCCAAAAAGAGGCGGGGCUAAUGUUGCAAAUACUAAAACAGGGGCCAGUACAGGUCUGUACACAUCAACUCUUAUUAAAAAAAUACAUAUAUUUUUACAGAUUUGUCGUUGUUACAGCAUGUUCUGAGAAAAUAAAUGUAAAAAAAUUCCUUUGCCUUCUUCCAGUGCUAACUAGAAACAACCAAUCAGGGCCAGGGGGCGGGGCUUAGCGCUGUCAGCUAGCAGAGACUUCUGAAUGCUAAGGCUAGUUAGCAUAGCCACCAGUGAUGGCAGAUAUCGGUUUUUCUGUAACCACAGAAAACUGUGGUUUUCUUUUGCAUUAACAGAUUGAACAACUACUACAUGAGGAUGAUUGACAGCACUAAGAACCGCCUCCUGGCUCUGGUUGCUUUUGCCGUUUUUCUUCAGACUGCAAUAGCAGCUCAGGGAGACGAAGGAGAAGAUCGAUCUGUUCACAGAUCAUCUGCUUCAUAACUGAGUAUUGCCCCUCUUAAUUGAAAAUGAUAAUCGCCAGGAGCUUUUUAACAUCACCUGCAGCUGAGGAAGGUAAAACUCAAAACAAUUAGCAAACUCAAAUUAAACCAUCUAAAUCAGAAACUAACUAACAUUUCCUUCCAUUACAGGAAGGAUGGCCAGUCCCUCUGCCUGAAUGAAUGUUUAAAUGUCACAAUGUGAAUGAAAAUAAAGAAUUGAAACAAAAAGCAUUUAGUCUGUAAAUAAAUUCAACAACAUAAUAUAAUAUCAAUCAUCAUUUAUUAGGGAUGGAACCCUGGUCUCCAUCACAAGGGAACAGAAAACAAGUGAGACUAAAUACUCAGGAGAAAAUGAGCAAACGAGGGACAGCAACUGUAGAAGAGGCUAAAUUAACCAGAACACACAAAAAACCCAAAUCCUCACAAUACAGGGUUUCCUUAAGCUACAGAAAUGCUAAAGUUUACCUUGGAUAAUUUAAAACUAACAUCCUGGUGC